rnacentral:rRNA from 1 species
UACAUAGGGGGCAAGCGUUGUCCGGAAUUAUUGGGCGUAAAGAGCGCGUAGGCGGUCCGAUAAGUCGGCUGUGAAAGUCCAGGGCUCAACCCUGGAAAGCCGGCCGAUACUGUCGGACUAGAGUCCGGAAGAGGCAAGUGGAAUUCCCGGUGUAGCGGUGAAAUGCGCAGAUAUCGGGAGGAACACCAAUGGCGAAGGCAGCUUGCUGGGACGGUACUGACGCUGAGGCGCGAAAGCGUGGGGAGCAAACAGG